AGCGCCCCCCGGCAAGUGCCCCCCCCCCAGCCCCGCCGUCCUGCCCCCCCCGCGGGAGGUCCGCUGAGCCAGCCGGUCCCCCGAGGGGCGGUCCCUGCGCGGCCAAGGUCAGGGCGCGGGCCGGGGCUCGCAGCUGGGGCGACGCACCUGCUCGAGACCUGCCAGAGCAACUGCCUCUAGGGGGCCGACUCCGCUCCUCUGCCCUCAGCGGCACCUCAUGCUCCAACCCCCCUGUCUCUCCCCACCCCGACCCCCACCCCCCGCAGCAGAGGCAGCCCAGGGGCCCGAUCCCUCCCACGUGAUUCAGGAGGGCCUUUUUCAAAGAAAACGGAAGCCACCUUUGGGAAGACGUCAAUGGCAAACGGAUAAUCAUUUUGUUUUUAUGAUGGGAACGGCAGGCACAGAAAUCUCAAAUUUUUCAUGUGGGCUCAAGAGCUCUUCAGAGUAGAGAGGAAACUAAUCUCUGAAGUUUUCUCUUAUAUAUCCUAUGGAAUGCGUAUUAAAAUCCUGAAUGCUAAAACUCCAUUGGAAUUUAGUUACAGCUGAAUUUGACCAAUUGGACACACUGUGAAGAACCUAAAGUAGGGGCGUCUGGGAGGCUCUGUAGAUGACUUGGGACUCCUGAUUUUGACUCAGUUUCUGAAGUUCCCACAGAAGUCUGAGAUGGUGGCCAGUAAUUUCUCCUUGAAGCCUAACACACCUUACCCAGUGACUAGAGAUAACUGUUGUGAACAGUUUAGUGUUGAAUCAAAGGACCUAGUGCUUCUUUCUUGAACAUGACAGAAAAAAAAAAAAAUUCCACAGAACAUGGCCCAAAGGAAAACAGACCACAAAAUUUAAGGAGUCUCAGCUUGCUGGGUUAUGAGAUCCUUCUUUGGGGCGGCCCACUUACGCCUUGGCCUUGACUUCUGCUAUCUGCGUUGGAAGAAAAGCCUAAGACAGUUAAUAUUUGCUUGUCACAUGGAAUCUAGGACUCAGUGGCAGUCGCCAGGCAAGUGACUGUUCCAUCCUCUGGAUAAGGCGUUAACAGGCUCUACUUAGGGGCCACACGUGUCCGUCUGGUUGCUGUCACAGUUAAGCCUCAGCCAACACGAACGUCUUUAGGUUAAAUUAACUUACCACAUCAUUAGUAUGUAGAGCCUUGGGGAACAGAACAGGCAUGUGUUAAGGAGGAGAAAUGGGUUGGUGAAUCAGUGCCUGGGCUGGGACAUUGCAAUAGGGGCUCUGGGCAGCUGACGCUCCGGAGGGAAUUUGAAAGGGAAAGAAGGGGCCAUGGCCCGAAGGCUACGUUCAGGGCAUAUACUUUACACACUUCAUGAUUUUUGUCUUGGGCAGACAGUAAUCGUUAUAGUAUAAAGUUAGACUUGGGCUGAUUUUGAUUAAUUUCUAUCAGCACAAACUUGUCCAAGGGCUCUACCUCUUCACAUCCUGCUCCAGAACCUUGGCCUUGGAGGAAUUUAAACAGGCCUUGAAGGCUGAGUAAGGAGUAGCCACGCUGCCGUCAGGCCCCCUAAUAUCCAUCGUCCCGCGCGGGGCCCGUCUGAGAAGACUGCUUGGCCCGGCCUCCCUCGUCCAGUGUGGCCAUGUGACUAGAUUCUGCUCCGGGGUGAUGAGUGGGAGUGGUGUGGGCAGUUUCUCCGUAGUGUCUUCUGUUCUAGGCCGGCUUCCCCGGAAGUAGAUGCUGACAGCAAGAGUCCAGCACAAGCUGUUUACUUGAGAAGGUGAUUCUAGGAAGCAUAAGGAGGGGGGUAGGGGAAGUGUGUCGGUCUGGAUUUUCUAAGUAGGUGCCAAGUGGAAUGACACGUACGAGGAUUUUAUUAAGGGAAGCACGUAUGGGAGGGACAGCGGGGUGGGAGCCAGAUGAGGCCAGAAGGGCUGGCGGACCAGCCGGCAAAGGUGAGUCUGGCCCGAAGUGAAGAAGAGGAGGAAGGCCUUACGCUGCCUGCCAGGCUGAGGAGAGGUAGCAAAGCCGGCAUCAGGGGGCCCCAGUUCCCCUGGGAACGACCUGCGUUGGGGUCCUUGUGACACUCAGUCAGCGACUGGAGCAGUCCGCGGGAAGAAGGCCUUGCGCGGGCACAGCCGGGGGCUUCGUGGCACGGCGGCCAGCCUUGGUAACUGUGCCCUUCGGGUUGGAGGCGAGUCCUUGGUGCAUCCUCCCGCCACUGCGGGAAGUGAGGCAGGGAGGGAAGGGACGUUAAGAGUGCACCCGGGGCCGCGGAGGCACCACCUGCUGGCAUCCUCUGGGGACCGGGGCAGCCCCCACCCGAGGGGCAUACAGCUGAGGGGCAACACGCCCCCACCUGUUGAAACUGCUGACGGGUUUGUCUUCGCUACGGGAGCCGCGCGAGAGACACCUUGAGAAAGUGGUUUUGAGGAAGCGUUUCCACUCGCUCCUGCGUGGAAUCUUUCCAGGAGGGUUGCUAACAAACUGAACGUGCGACUGACUGGGGUUAUGCAUCUUCUUUCUUCGUGCUCCUCACCUCCCGCCCCCUCAUUUCUGCUGGAGAAUUGGAAAAGCGUGAAAUGCCCCCCAGAGUGAAGAACACAGCACAGGGGACUCUGGGUGAUCCACCCCGCCCGCUGUAAGGACACGCUACCCAGUCCCGGAUCAUAGCCUUUUCUCUCCUUUACAACUCCGCGAGGAAACUUACGGUCGGGAGGAAAACGACAAAAACAGAAAAACAAACUAGGAAGAAAUACACCAUAGCAAUUACUGGCUGGAAGGUGGUGGAAUUACGGAUAUUUUUCUUUUAUUCCAUAAUUAAAUGCGGUUCUAACUCUUUUACUUAAAUGUUUGUAGUAAGGCUAUUUUUCUACUUUUCUGUCUGCUUAAAUACUUCCAUAAUAAAAAUUAUAUUUUAAUUUCAAAGCAA